UGACAGUCAUGUUGACGACAUCCGCUCGAGCUGAUGAGAGGAGGUGCAUGGCCGCCGUCAGCUCGUACCGUGAGGCAUCCUGUUAAGUCAGGCAACGAGCGAGAUCCACGUCCCUAAUUGCCAGCACCAUCGCACGAUGGGUGGGUACAUUAGGGAGACUGCCAGUGCUAAACUGGAGGAAGGAAUGGGCAACGGUAGGUCAGUAUGCCCCGAAUGGGCUGGGCAACACGCGGGCUACAAUGGUCAGGACAACGGGUUCCAACACUGAAAAGUGACGGUAAUCUCGCAAACCUGGUCGUAGUUCGGAUUGUGGGCUGAAACUCGCCCACAUGAAGCUGGAUUCGGUAGUAAUCGCGUGUCAGAAGCGCGCGGUGAAUACGUCCCUGCUCCUUGCACACACCGCCCGUCAAAGCACCCGAGUGAGGUCCGGAUGAGGCCACAUCACUGUGGUCAAAUCCGGGCUUCGCAAGGGGGCUUAAGUCGUAACAAGGUAACCGUA
rnacentral:rRNA from 1 species